rnacentral:rRNA from 1 species
AAUAUUGGACAUUUGGGGCAACCCUGAUCCAGCCAUGCCGCGUGUGUGAAUAAGGUCUUCGGAUUGUAAAGCACUUUAAGUUGUGAGGAAGGCCUUUAGGUUAAUACCCUGAAGUUUUGACGUUCCCAACAGAAUAAGCACCGGCCACCUCUGUGCCAGCAGCCGCGGUAAUACAGAGGGUGCAAGCGCUAAUCGGAAUUACUGGGCGUAAAGCGCGCGUAGGUGGUUCAGUAAGAUGGGUGUGAAAUCCCCGGGCUUAAACUGGGAACUGCUUUCAUAACUGCUGAGCUAGAGUACGGUAGAGGGUAGUGGAAUUUCCUGUGUAGCGGUGAAAUGCGUAGAUAUAGGAAGGAACACCAGUGGCGAAGGCGACUACCUGGACUGAUACUGACACUGAGGUGCGAAAGCGUGGGGAGCAAAC